UACGUAGGGUCCGAGCGUUAAUCGGAAUUACUGGGCGUAAAGCGUGCGCAGGCGGCUUUGUAAGUCAGAUGUGAAAGCCCCGGGCUUAACCUGGGAAUGGCAUUUGGGACUGCAAGGCUGGAGUACGGCAGAGGGAGGUGGAAUUCCAGGUGUAGCAGUGAAAUGCGUAGAUAUCUGGAGGAACACCGAUGGCGAAGGCAGCCUCCUGGGCUAGUACUGACGCUCAUGCACGAAAGCGUGGGGAGCAAACAGG
rnacentral:rRNA from 1 species